rnacentral:tRNA from 1 species
UCCCAGGUGGCUGAGUGGUAAAGAAUCUACCUUCAGUGCAGGAGACAUGGGUUCAAUCCCUGGCUGGGAA